rnacentral:rRNA from 1 species
CUACAGAGGGUGCGAGCGUUAAUCGGAAUUACUGGGCGUAAAGCGCGCGUAGGCGGCUACUUAAGUCAGAUGUGAAAUCCCCGGGCUCAACCUGGGAACUGCAUCUGAUACUGGGUAGCUAGAGUUUAGGAGAGGGAAGUAGAAUUUCAGGUGUAGCGGUGAAAUGCAUAGAGAUCUGAAGGAAUACCAGUGGCGAAGGCGACUUCCUGGCCUAAAACUGACGCUGAGGUGCGAAAGCGUGGGUAGCAAACGGGAUUAGAAACCCCGGUAGUCC